rnacentral:tRNA from 1 species
GCCGAAGUGGUGUAAUUGGUAGACACGCCAGAUUCAGGGUCUGGUGGGAGCAAUCCCGUAGGGGUUCGAGUCCCCUCUUCGGCACCA